CCUCGAUGGCAGAUGAUCGUUGAUGCGUGGAAACGCGCGUUAGAGGAAAGUCCGAACACCACACGGCAGCAUGCCGCGUAAAACACGCGGAGGUUGCGCACGUAAGCGCGCGAUCAUGGAAAGUGUCGCAGAAAAUACACCGCCCAGCUCUUUGCUCGCAAAGAGCUGAGUAAGGUUGAAAAGGCGAGGUAAGAGCUCACCGCGCGCGAAGCGAUUCGCGCGGCAGGAAAAACCCCAUGCGGUGCAAGACAGAACAGAGGGAGGGCAGCCGGUCCGAUUCCUCGGGUAUCGUCGCAUCACGGGCGACUGUAGCGGCGGUCUAUGACCGCCGAACUCGGUCUCCGGGCGGCCCAUAAAAGUGGGUCGAGAUAAAUGGUCAUCCCGGCUGAGCAAUCAGUCGGACAG
rnacentral:RNase_P_RNA from 1 species